rnacentral:rRNA from 1 species
UACGUAGGGACCAAGCGUUGUCCGGAAUCAUUGGGCGUAAAGAGCGUGUAGGCGGCUUGUUAAGUCUUGCGUGAAAUCUCGGGGCUCAACCCCGAGCGGUCGUGAGAAACUGGCAGGCUAGAGUGCGGGAGAGGAGAGUGGAAUUCCUGGUGUAGCGGUGAAAUGCGCAGAUAUCAGGAAGAACACCCGUGGCGAAGGCGGCUCUCUAGUACGGUACUGACGCUGAGACGCGAAAGCGUGGGGAGCGAACAGG